UGCCUCCUGCGGGGCUCGAGUGGCCGAGAUGAUUCCUGAACCAACAUUGUCUAUCCGGGGAAUCCCCAGUCAUCACCGCGGUGUGCCGCUCCCUCGCGGAGUAGCCUAAAGCGGUGUGUGGAUACCCACCUGAACAUCAGGUUCAUGGGAUAGCGGGCUGCACGACCCAGGCGGGAGGCAC
rnacentral:other from 1 species